UGACAUUAGGAGAUUAUGUCCCCUCCCUCACACACUCAUACAUCCUUUCCAAAUUUCCUAUUGAUUACUUCCCCAGAGUGAAAGAGGCAGGAAACAGGAAUAUCCUCUCAUGGAUGUGGUUGCCAUCUUGACUGGUGUGGUUAGCACUAAAUCCAUUAGCAUUAAUACUCCCCAUAAGAAGCUUUGGAUAAGUAGCUUUAAAACUCUGGAUGAUCAACAAAGAAAUAGAUUUUCUUGGGGGAGGGUGAAUAUGUUAGAAAAGAAGACAGGAAGGAGGCAGAUGCGCUGAGUCACAGUAGACAAAACUGAUCCUGAAAAAAAUAUGGGAAUCCAAGGCUAAUUGAAGUAAUUACCAGGGUUUGUGAGCCCCUGCCUUCCUAUUGGUGCAACUUUCUUUCUUCCACCCUCCCUGCCCCUCUUAGACUCACUCGGUAUGUGAGUUGCCAUUGAAGCUUGAUAGGCCAUGUCUGAACCAGGUGCCGUGAAUGUACCCAAGGUUAUAUUACCUAGAUUCUUAGCUUGUCACAGUGGUCCCCCAAGAAGAAAUCAGUGUGGAUCCUAUAAAGCAGUGCUUCUCAAACCUUACUGUGUAUAACAGUGACCUUAGAAAUCUUGUUAAAAUGCACAUUCUGAUUCUAGAAGUUUGGAAUGGGACCAGAGAUUCAGUCUUUCAGAGAUGCCUCUGCUCUUUGUUCUGGGGCCACACACUGAGGAGCAACAUCCUACAACACUGGUUCUUAAAUCUCUAUGCAGCUGAAGGUUUCCUACAAUGCUUUUUAUAAAUGACCAACACUCCUUCCCAGAUCAAUGAAAUCAGAAUGGGGAGAGGGGGGUGAGCUGCCAAGUCUUAAGUCUUCACAACCAGCGAUAAAAACCCUCUUCCCACUCUCUGGUGCUGUCAGCUCGACAUCCUACUUUUCACUCCCUUUUACAUCAUUCCUCUCCUGCUACCUGCUUUUCAGUUGUGGAAGAGCAGAAAGAAGAAAGUAUCUAAAAUUGGACACUUGUCCGUGAUCAGAAUAUAAAGAAAACUAAGCACUACAGGACUCUAUUGUCAAGUACAAGCCACGCUGAUGCUUAGAUGACAUCCCACUCUUUCGCAGGAGACCCUGUGGUGUGGCUCAGAGAUAACAGUCUUUUCAGGGAUAUUCUUAUUAAGACAUUUUGCAUUUAUGUGACACUUUUUUAUCUUCAAAGGAAGAUAUUACAAAAAUUUAUUUACAAUACCCUAUAAAAAUGGGCCAUUAUUUUUUUCACUAUGUAGAUCAGACAAAUUAUGAAAAGUGAAAAAUUCGCCUUGGGCCAUAAAUAAAACAGUAAAAUAAG
rnacentral:lncRNA from 1 species